rnacentral:rRNA from 1 species
GUGAGGAAUAUUGGUCAAUGGGCGAAAGCCUGAACCAGCCAUGUCGCGUGAAGGAUGAAGGUCCUAUGGAUUGUAAACUUCUUUUGCAGGAGGGUAAAGUGAGCUACGUGUAGUUCAUUGCAAGUACCCUGCGAAUAAGCAUCGGCUAACUCCGUGCCAGCAGCCGCGGUAAUACGGAGGAUGCGAGCGUUAUCCGGAUUUAUUGGGUUUAAAGGGUGCGUAGGCGGACUAAUUAGUCAGCGGUGAAAUUUUGCGGCUCAACCGUAAAACUGCCGUUGAAACUGUUAGUCUUGAGUGCGGUAGAGGUAGGCGGAAUGUGUGGGGUAGCGGUGAAAUGCUUAGAUAUCACACAGAACACCGAUUGCGUAGGCAGCUUACUGGAGCGCAACUGACGCUCAGGCACGAAAGAGUGGGGAUCGAACAGGAUUAGAAACCCCAGUAGUCC